AAGAUACGAAAUGUCGUUUUGGUGGCCAUUGAUAGUUGUUGCUUUCGCAUAUGCGAUCGGUCGUUUCUUGCUAAUGUUCAUUCCUUUCAUCGUCCCUUCAAUCGACGUCGAUGCCUCUUACGUUACGGAAUGGAAUCAAACGCUAGACGACAGCUACAUUUAUAUUCCUCCGAGAGGAAGAACGCAGCAGUUAGAUGAAAAGGUUCAGUGCUAUGAGCCAGCGACGAUGAAA